rnacentral:rRNA from 1 species
CUAAAUACUCCUGACUGACCGAUAGUGAACCAGUACCGUGAGGGAAAGGCGAAAAGAACCCCGGCGAGGGGAGUGAAAAAGAACCUGAAACCGUGUACGUACAAGCAGUGGGAGCACAGGUUUACCUGUGUGACUGCGUACCUUUUGUAUAAUGGGUCAGCGACUUAUAUUCUGUAGCAAGGUUAACCGAAUAGGGGAGCCGGAGGGAAACCGAGUCUUAAUUGGGCGUUAAGUUGCAGGGUAUAGACCCGAAACCCGGUGAUCUAGCCAUGGGCAGGUUGAAGGUUGGGUAACACUAACUGGAGGACCGAACCGACUAAUGUUGAAAAAUUAGCGGAUGACCUGUGGCUGGGGGUGAAAGGCCAAUCAAACCGGGAGAUAGCUGGUUCUCCCCGAAAGCUAUUUAGGUAGCGCCUCGUGAAUUCAUCUCCGGGGGUAGAGCACUGUUUCGGCUAGGGGGCCAUCCCGGCUUACCAACCCGAUGCAAACUGCGAAUACCGGAGAAUGUUAUCACGGGAGACACACGGCGGGUGCUAACGUCCGUCGUGAAGAGGGAAACAACCCAGACCGCCAGCUAAGGUCCCAAAGUCAUGGUUAAGUGGGAAACGAUGUGGGAAGGCCCAGACAGCCAGGAUGUUGGCUUAGAAGCAGCCAUCAUUUAAAGAAAGCGUAAUAGCUCACUGGUCGAGUCGGCCUGCGCGGAAGAUGUAACGGGGCUAAACCAU